rnacentral:misc_RNA from 1 species
AAGAGUGAGGGUCUCUCAGGCCCGACCUCCCAACCCUUUGAUUACUGAACCUCUGUUGCUUCGGUGGACCCGCCUUCACCGGCCGCCGGAGGACCGCCGCGAGGCAUCCUCUGGUCCGCGUCCGCCGAUAGCCAACCUAUUAAACUCUUGAAUAACCAUGUCGUAUGUCUAAGUCAAUUGAUAAAUUAAAGCA